GACGUAGGGCGCGAGCGUUGUCCGGAUUUAUUGGGCGUAAAGAGCUCGUAGGCGGCUCGUCGCGUCUGCCGUGAAAACCCGCAGCUCAACUGCGGGCUUGCGGUUGAUACGGGCGGGCUGGAGUUCGGUAGGGGAGACUGGAAUUCCUGGUGUAGCGGUGAAAUGCGCAGAUAUCAGGAGGAACACCGGUGGCGAAGGCGGGUCUCUGGGCCGAUACUGACGCUGAGGAGCGAAAGCGUGGGGAGCGAACAGG
rnacentral:rRNA from 1 species